CAGGAGUGGAGGACAUUCAUGGACACAGGGGAAUUCUCACUUCAAAUAAAGCAUAUCUUCUCUCAGUUAGAAACGGAAAGAAAAAAAAGGGAAGCACCUGCAUGCGAACCACAGAGUCUCAGUGUCUACUUCCUGCAGAAUCUGACCUAAGUCAGGUGACUGAGACCUAACAGAGAAGUGAAUGAGGAAGACUGGCAUAGAUGAAGGAUUCUACAGACAUUCCACCAUGGCUUAAAAAUCACAUCUAGGGAACAGUGAAAAGAGACAUUUGCCACAUGGUCCUCACACCAAUGAAAUACUCUGUAUGAAAUAUUUAAACAAAUGUUAAAAUACAGAAAAUAAUUAUACCUUUGUACCCAUCACCCAGAUUGAACAUAUUUCAUGGGCUAUUGUAAAAAAAGUAAAGCAUUACAGACAGGAUUGAACCCCCCUUUAUACUCCUCCCUCACCCUAAUAAUUUGCUUGCAAUCUUAAACUGUGUUUCAAUUUUAGUGCCUAACAUUAAACUUUAUAAUUUUCUAAAAAAUCUAAAAUUACUACUUUUAGCCCCCUCCACACAAGUCAAGAAAGUUAUCAAGUUUCAACUACCCAUUUAAAGCCCAGUGUCUUCUUUUUUGUUGUUACCUUGACAUUUAGUUUUGUAUUUUUCUUUUUUUGAUGUUUUUCAUCUUUAAUAAGACCAAGAUAUUCUGUUCAUUUCUGUGCUCACUAUUUUUACUUACAACUAUCUCUUUGUACUGUGUUUACUUUUCUUCUUUUUUGAGUACAUUCCUCAUUAGCUAUUUUAGUGAGAGCUGUGGAAGGUAAAUUCCCUUAAUAUUUGCUUGUCUAAAAUUUUCUUUAGUUCACCCUCUCUCAAAUGAUAAUUUACCUGGCUAUAAAAUUAUAAAUUGGCAGUUAUUUUCUUGUAUUAUUUUGAAGACAUUGUCCUACUGCCUUCUAGCAUCUAUUCUGAUAAGGAGAAAUUAUUGUACUUCUGUAAUAACUUUGUUGUUAAUCUAUCUCUUCUCUCUUUUAGCUUUAAGGGUUUUUAUUUUAAUUUUUAGAUUUAAUAUUCUACCAUUUUACUAUGAUGGUUUGCUAUGAUGGUUAGCUUUCUUUUUAUUUACCUGACUCAGUUCUCUUAUCUUCAACUCUGUGAAAUUUACAGCCAUUGUACUUUCAAAAACCUCUUUUCUACCAUUUUCAUAAUUUUUACUUUUAUAGCUCUUUCUAUAUUUAUGUAAAUUAGUAUUAUCUUCCAAUUUAUUAAAUGUUUCUGCCUUAUUCAGUUCAGA
rnacentral:lncRNA from 10 species